rnacentral:rRNA from 1 species
CUUGGGGGGGAUAACAGUUGGAAACGACUGCUAAUACCUCAUACUCCUUCUAUAUUAAUUAUAAUUGGGAAAUGUUUUUUCGCUAAGAGAUCGGGCUAUAUGGUAUCAGCUAGUUGGUGGGGUAAUGGCUCACCAAGACAAUGACGCCUAGCUGGUUUGAGAGGAUGAUCCGCCACACUGGUACUGAGACACGGACCAGACUCCUACGGGAGGCAGCAGUGAGGAAUAUUGCACAAUGGGGGAAACUCUGAUGCAGCAACGCCGCGUGGAGGAUGACGCAUUUCGGUGUGUAAACUCCUUUUAUGANAUCAAGAUAAUGACGGUAGCUNCAUGAAUAAGCACCGGCUAACUCCGUGCCAGCAGCCGCGGUAAUACGGAGGGUGCAAGCGUUACUCGGAAUCACUGGGCGUAAAGNGCGCGCAGGCGGGCUAAUAAGUUGGAUGUGAAAGCCUACGGCUCAACCGUAGAACUGCAUCCAAAACUGUUAGUCUAGAGUGUGGGAGAGGAAGAUGGAAUUAGUUGUGUAGGGGUAAAAUCCGUAGAGAUAACUAGGAAUACCAAAAGCGAAGGCAAUCUUCUGGAACAUUACUGACGCUGAGGCGCGAAAGCGUGGGGAGCAAACAGGAUUAGAUACCCUGGUAGUCCACGCCCUAAACGAUGAAUGUUAGUCGUCGGGUAGCUAGUCUAUUCGGUGAUGCAGCUAACGCAUUAAACAUUCCGCCUGGGGAGUACGGUCGCAAGAUUAAAACUCAAAGGAAUAGACGGGGACCCGCACAAGUGGUGGAGCAUGUGGUUUAAUUCGAAGAUACGCGAAGAACCUUACCUAGCCUUGACAUAUUUAAGAACACUUUAGAGAUAGAGUGGUGCCUUCCGGGAGCUUAUAUACAGGUGCUGCACGGCUGUCGUCAGCUCGUGUCGUGAGAUGUUGGGUUAAGUCCCGCAACGAGCGCAACCCUCGUCACUAGUUACUAACGGUUCGCCGAGGACUCUAGUGAGACUGCCUUCGCAAGGAGGAGGAAGGUGAGGACGACGUCAAGUCAUCAUGGCCCUUACGGCUAGGGCAACACACGUGCUACAAUGGCCAGGACAAUGAGAAGCGAUACCGCGAGGUGGAGCAAAUCUAUAAACCUGGUCUCAGUUCGGAUAGCAGUCUGCAACUCGACUGCUUGAAGCUGGAAUCACUAGUAAUCGUAGAUCAGCUAUGCU